UACGGAGGGUGCAAGCGUUAAUCGGAAUUACUGGGCGUAAAGCGUGCGUAGGUGGUUCGUUAAGUCCGUUGUGAAAGCCCCGAGCUCAACUUGGGAAUUGCAGUGGAUACUGGCGAGCUGGAGUGCGGUAGAGGAAGGUGGAAUUCCCGGUGUAGCGGUGAAAUGCGUAGAGAUCGGGAGGAACACCAGUGGCGAAGGCGGCACCCUGGACCAGCACUGACACUGAGGCACGAAAGCGUGGGGAGCAAACAGG
rnacentral:rRNA from 1 species